rnacentral:ncRNA from 2 species
UGAACUCAGGCGGGAGAGACCGGGUUUCGAGCCCGGCGCCGAAGGAGCAAGUUCCUCCCCGGGAACCUCUCAGGCACCCAGGACCGCGUGAGCUAG